rnacentral:siRNA from 1 species
UGCCACUCUUUAUCGUCGUCUAGC